rnacentral:rRNA from 1 species
GCUUAACCGAAGAAGUGCAUCAGAAACUGGGUGACUUGAGUGCAGAAGAGGACAGUGGAACUCCAUGUGUAGCGGUGGAAUGCGUAGAUAUAUGGAAGAACACCAGUGGCGAAGGCGGCUGUCUGGUCUGCAACUGACGCUGAGGCUCGAAAGCAUGGGUAGCGAACAGGAUUAGAUACCCUGGUAGUCCAUGCCGUAAACGAUGAGUGCUAGGUGUUGGAGGGUUUCCGCCCUUCAGUGCCGGAGCUAACGCAUUAAGCACUCCGCCUGGGGAGUACGACCGCAAGGUUGCAACUCAAAGGAAUUGACGGGGGCCCGCACAAGCGGUGGAGCAUGUGGUUUAAUUCGAAGCUACGCGAAGAACCUUACCAGGUCUUGACAUCUUGCGCUAACCUAAGAGAUUAGGCGUUCCCUUCGGGGACGCAAUGACAGGUGGUGCAUGGUCGUCGUCAGCUCGUGUCGUGAGAUGUUGGGUUAAGUCCCGCAACGAGCGCAACCCUUGUUACUAGUUGCCAGCAUUCAGUUGGGCACUCUAGUGAGACUGCCGGUGACAAACCGGAGGAAGGUGGGGAUGACGUCAGAUCAUCAUGCCCCUUAUGACCUGGGCUACACACGUGCUACAAUGGUCGGUACAACG